UACGGAGGGAGCUAGCGUUGUUCGGAAUUACUGGGCGUAAAGCGCGCGUAGGCGGCUUUGUAAGUUAGAGGUGAAGCCAGGCCGGCUCAACUCCGGAACUGCCUUUAAAACUGCAUCGCUUGAAUCCAGGAGAGGUGAGUGGAAUUCCGAGUGUAGAGGUGAAAUUCGUAGAUAUUCGGAAGAACACCAGUGGCGAAGGCGGCUCACUGGACUGGUAUUGACGCUGAGGUGCGAAAAGCGUGGGGAGCAAACAGG
rnacentral:rRNA from 1 species